GAUGAAGAACGCAGCGAAAUGCGAUAAGUAAUGUGAAUUGCAGAAUUCAGUGAAUCAUCGAAUCUUUGAACGCACCUUGCGCUCCCUGGUAUUCCGGGGAGCACGCCUGUUCGAGUGUCGCGAUAUUCUUCAAGCCUUGGAUGGAUUUUUUUUUGUCUGUCCUUGGGCUUGGUUGUUGGGCUCUGCCGUGUCCUUCAUUGGGACGGCUGGCCUUAAAAGCAUUAGCCGAUCCUCGUGUGGUACUGGUUCUACUCAGCGUGAUAACAAUCUGAUCGUUGAGGACAUCUUCUGGAUGGCCAGUCAUCAUUUGGGUUGCUUCUAAACCGGUUUCGCAGAUUGCUCAAUCUGUGUGCCACUUUUCAGCUUUGACCUCGAAUCAGGUGGGACUACCCGCUGAACUUAAGCAUAUCAAUAAGCGGAGGA
rnacentral:misc_RNA from 1 species